rnacentral:rRNA from 1 species
GACGAACGCUGGCGGCGUGCCUAACACAUGCAAGUCGAGCGGGGUUGAAGCGAGAGGUAACUCGAACUUCUACCUAGCGGCGGACGGGUGAGUAACGCGUGGGCAACCUGCCUCAAGGUCUGGGAUAACAGCCCGAAAGGGCUGCUAAUACUGGGUAUGCUUGUGGCCUCGCAUGGGGCUAUGAGCAAAGGGGAAACCCGCCUUGAGAUGGGCCCGCGUCCCAUCAGCUAGUUGGUGAGGUAACAGCUCACCAAGGCGACGACGGGUAGCCGGCCUGAGAGGGUGACCGGCCACACUGGGACUGAGACACGGCCCAGACUCCUACGGGGGGCAGCAGUGGGGGAUCUUGCACAAUGGGCGAAAACCUGAUGCAGCGACGCCGCGUGAGCGAAGAAGGCCUUCGGGUUGUAAAGCUCUGUCUGGAGGGACGAAGGAAGUGACGGUACCUCCGGAGGAAGCCACGGCUAACUACGUGCCAGCAGCCGCGGUAACUCGACUACUAU